GAUGAACGCUGGCGGCGUGCCUAACACAUGCAAGUCGAGCGAUCAGACGAGGAGCUUUCCCCUCUCACUUUCGCGUCGCACGCGUGUGUAACAUGUCGAUAACCCACCUAUAUGACUGGGAUUACUUCGUGAAACCGGUGCCAAUACCGGCUAAUAUUUUGAACCGCAUGGUUCAGUAGCUACAGACCGUUUUGCUGCCACUUAUCGCUGAAUCCGGGCGGCAUUAGCUAGUGGGUAAGGUAACGUCUUACCAAGGCAACGAUGCGUAGCCGACCUGAGAGGGUGAUCGGCCACACUGGAACUGAGACACGGUCCAGACUCCUACGGGAGGCAGCAGUAGGGAAUCUUCCGCAAUGGGCGCAAGCCUGACGGAGCAACGCCGCGUGAGUGAUGAAGGUCUUCGGAUCGUAAAACUCUGUUAUUAGGGAAGAACAAAUGUGUAAGUAACUAUGCACGUCUUGACGGUACCUAAUCAGAAAGCCCCGGCUAACUACGUG
rnacentral:rRNA from 1 species